rnacentral:lncRNA from 1 species
AUACAUUGGACAUUUUAAUUUUAUUUGAAAUGAAAUGCUAUCAGUAAAUGGCUCUUAAAUAAGCAUAAUCAGCACACAACUAGCAAGUUGAAGGGCCAGAAAAACAAGAGAACAAACUUUCCUCUUAAAAUUCAUUCAAUUGAAUUUUAUAUGUGAAAAAAAAAUAAUACAUAAAUAUGUAAGACAAAUAUUCUUACAAAGCAAACGCUGAGAUAUGAGUAAAAUUUAAAAUGUAAGAAAAUUAACUGGCAUUUUUGAGCUAGUGGACCGUUUAAAUACACUUAUAAUCCCUUUUUUUCUUUUUUGUUCAUCCGUGAAAAUCACAACAAAAGUAAUUUUUUUUUUUGUUUAUUGUACAUUCAUUAUUCAAUCCGCCAAUCAUUUUUUUUUUAAUCCAUCUGUGAAAAUCACAACACAUGUAAAUUUUUUAUUGUACAUUUAUUAUUCAAUUCCAUUUUUCUCCAAAAAAAUUUAGUAUGCGCGUUAUUUCAAAUUUGUGGCAUGCACAUAAAGUAGAGCUCGAGUCUAAAACUUCGAGUCUUAGAAAGGCUUCCCUUAUAAUUGGAGCUAAAUCUAGCCUCUAACAUAGUAUGUGUCCUUUCUUCAAUUUGCAGCUUUUUGUCAGAAGGCGCUAGUGCAGUUCAAAUAAAUUCAUGUAAAGCAAACCCCGAGAUACAAGUAAAAUUGAAAAUGUAAGAAAAUUAACUUACAUGUUUGAGCUUAUUGGAAGUAAGGAUCCCUCUACGUUACGUUUGUUGUAACAUACAAUCAAUGAAAAGACUGGUUGGUCAAUAAACGCUUGCCAAGUGGAUACAUAAGUGAUAAAAUUAAACUGGUUUAAGCGGUUGAAACCGGUCACCAAAAACAAGCAACGCGAGAUACUCCCUUCUACAGCCGGUCUUGACUGGCGUAACGGCGUCGUUUUCACCUUCAAAUUACCCAUCGCUUCCAACCUAAUCGUCGUCAAAAUUCAAUCCUCCACCACCGAAGUCGUUACGGCUCACAAGAGAGGAAACGUGACUGAUGCUUGGUUAAAUUUUCUACUUAUUUUCAGAAACUAUUUUCUUUCUCCCUUUUUGGUUGGUUGUAACGCUGAUGUUCUUUGGUUACUUGAGAGUAACAAAUUGAUUGGAUGAAUUUUAGGGCUCGAAAGUUGGGACAUCGGGGUAUAAUGACGGGAGAGGCAUUGCAGAUAUCUCCGGCGAACGAUCCUUGUGGAAGUCCCGCAAAGGAGCAGCAAGCCGCUGGGGUUGGCAUAAUCCUCCAGAUCAUGAUGCUUGUACUCUUUUUCGUCCUUGGCCACGUCCUUCGCCGUCACAAAUUCUAUUAUCUUCCGGAAGCCAGCGCUUCUCUUCUCAUAGGUAUUAUUUUAAUUACUUUUAUUCCCUUUCUUUUCUUUUUUAUUUUUCUCGCUAAUUUUACUUUAAUUGCUGGCUGAAUAAUUAUCCUUGCAUCGUAUAUUUUUUAGGUUUAAUUGUUGGUGCACUGGCUAAUAUCUCUAAUACUAAAACAAAUAUUAGGUAUUCAUUUUCUUUUAAUGAAUUAAUGUCACUGGAUUUUCCAUUUUUGCUUCUAUGAUGUGAUCCUAAAACUCUAGUUGCUAAAGAGAUGGAACUUGCACAGCAGGCUGUGUACUCCAAGAAAAAGAAGGUCUCUUGGAGCUGGUAGAAAAGGGAAAAAUUGCAGCAAGAACUGAGAAGAGCGGACAAAAUGCGAGUAUCGACGACUGCAGCCACUGAGAUGAAAAUCCAGCUGUUGGAGCACAUAAAAAGUGUGACCGGGAAUUGUUCUUGCUUAUUUUUCAGGACAUGUAGAAUACUUGUGUAGAGAAAAAAUGGUCUGAUUCUUCCAUUUAUUUAUCGUACUUAAAUGGCUACUUCAGUUAGCAAUGCUAUUUUGAUUUUUUAAUUAUGCCAAUGUGAAGUAUUCCUUGUAGUAGUUGCGCAAUUUUUGGUUGUAUCAAACCUUGAUUCAAUUAGCAAUGUGUGUAGAUGUACUGGCUGGUAAGUGUUGGAAAGCCAGAAUUAAUGUUUGCAGAAGAAUUAAAUAAUAAUGGCAUUUGAAAUUUGCAUUAUACACUUGUACAAAAAUUUAUGCUUAGGAAAUUAACUGACUGUUUCCAUAUAAAAAUCCGAUCUGCAACCAGCAACCUCUAUAGUAACAAAAAAAAAUUUGCAACAUUGUCAUCGUUUUGAAGAGGUUACAAGGUAGUAGUGCCAAUAAAUCCCCAGGAAUACAUGCUCAACCACCUAAUAAUAGUGUUGAUAUCAAGAAAAGUUCAAAAAAAAUUUCAGCAAAAUCCAAGGCAUCCAGCCAUCUUACUCCNNNN